GGGGCUCCGCGGCUUGGUGGCCUGGCGGCCUGCUGGCUGGGACUCGCGGUCGCUUCCCACCCGACUAGGCUGAGACUGGUGAGCCUGCUUUCUGCGUGCUCGCUCGCCCUCUAGCAGGGGUAGGGUGAGAGUAAAGGAUGCUCCGCCGGGCCCUGGGCAGGUCCUUAACCUGCGGGACUGCGUGGCUUGCGGACGUGGCCCACGGGCUGCCCUGGCCGGUUCCCAGGGCCACGACGCCACAGUGUUAGGCAGGAUUUCCCCAGCACUCCGCUGGACGGUCGGAGCUCCCGCGCGCUCUGUGGCCCAUGGCUUCCCACCUCCUUCUCUGCAUUUCGUGUGUAGGAAGAUUGCACCUCUGUGUUCUAAGAUUCCCGAAGUACCCACGGGCCCUUCUUGGAAACAGAGCGGGGUGAGCCCUGCCGCUGUGGGUUGGCAGGGACAUUUGGAAUUAACGACACCUGGGACGUGCUUAAAUGGAACUUGGAAAACAUCUACGGACUAGACUGACCUCAGGGUCUCAAGAGACUUUGUCUCUUCCCUGCAUUCUUCUCUCCUCUCCCUGAGCCCACUAAUGCAGACUCCAAAUCUUCCUCUACCUUCCUUUUGGCGGUAAUGUAGAGGGUAAUACAGUGAGGAAAAGCCACAAAAUGUCUAUAGUGCAGGGGAUUCUGCAGUUAACCAAGUACUUUCUUACUGAUGAACUCGAAUGAACCAUAACGAAGGUGAUACAUGAUCUGUUCUAGGGAGUACUUGAGUCAUCACAACAUCUCUAUGAUCUUGGGGGAGAUAGCUGGGUAUUAUUAACCCUAUUGUGAGUGUAUAGAAAACUGAGGCACUUGGGGGGGGGGUGUUAUAGUAUUUUUCUCACUCUCUAGAAUAGAUGCUAUAUAAAUCCAGUAAUUACCACCUGCUAGUAUGUUCCCAUAGGACACGACCUCACUGAUGGAUAAUCUAGAUACAUGUACACAACAAGAAUUUAUAAAUAGUUAUCUUGAGUAAUACCUGACCU
rnacentral:lncRNA from 1 species